GCCGAGGUAGCUCAGUUGGUAGAGCACUAGACUGAAAAUCUGGGUGUGGGCGGUUCGAUUCCGUCCCUCGGCACCA
rnacentral:tRNA from 1 species